rnacentral:rRNA from 1 species
UACAGAGGUCUCAAGCGUUGUUCGGAUUCAUUGGGCGUAAAGGGUGCGUAGGUGGCGUCGUAAGUCGGGUGUGAAAUUUCGGAGCUUAACUCCGAAACUGCAUUCGAUACUGCGGUGCUUGAGGACUGGAGAGGAGACUGGAAUUUACGGUGUAGCAGUGAAAUGCGUAGAGAUCGUAAGGAAGACCAGUGGCGAAGGCGGCAUCCUGGACCAACACUGACACUGAGGAGCGAAAGCCAGGGGAGCAAACGGG